rnacentral:tRNA from 1 species
GGCUCGAUGGUCUAGUGGUAUGAUUCUCCGCUUCGGGCGCAAGUCCUCGUGUUCUAUACUCGAAUAUGUGAGAGGUCCCGGGUUCAAAUCCCGGUCGAGCCC